rnacentral:rRNA from 1 species
AUUGAACGCUGGCGGCAGGCCUAACACAUGCAAGUCGAAUGGUAACAGGAAACAGCUUGCUGUUUCUCUGACGAGUGGCGGACGGGUGAGUAAUGUCUGGGAAACUGCCUGAUGGAGGGGGAUAACUACUGGAAACGGUAGCUAAUACCGCAUAACGUCGCAAGACCAAAGAGGGGGACCUUCGGGCCUCUUGCCAUCAGAUGUGCCCAGAUGGGAUUAGCUAGUAGGUGGGGUAACGGCUCACCUAGGCGACGAUCCCUAGCUGGUCUGAGAGGAUGACCAGCCACACUGGAACUGAGACACGGUCCAGACUCCUACGGGAGGCAGCAGUGGGGAAUAUUGCACAAUGGGCGCAAGCCUGAUGCAGCCAUGCCGCGUGUAUGAAGAAGGCCUUCGGGUUGUAAAGUACCUUCAGCGGGGAGGAAGGGAGUAAAGUUAAUACCUUUGCUCAUUGACGUUACCCGCAGAAGAAGCACCGGCUAACUCCGUG